GACGGAGGGUGCAAACGUUGUUCGGAAUCACUGGGCAUAAAGAGCACGUAGGCUGCGCGCUAAGUCAGGUGUGAAAUCCCCCGGCUCAACCGGGGAACUGCACCUGAUACUGGCGUGCUCGAGGACGGUAGGGGUGAGUGGAACUCCAGGUGGAGCGGUGAAAUGCGUAGAUAUCUGGAGGAACACCGAUGGCGAAGGCAGGUCUCUGGGCAUUAACUGACGCUGAGGAGCGAAAGCUAGGGGAGCGAACAGG
rnacentral:rRNA from 1 species